AUGGCAAGCUGUGUGUGAAAAGAGAAAAUAAUGAUCAGCUGAGUUCUUAAACACUGACUGAAAACACACAUUUCACCUCAAAGAAUGAAAGUGGACACCGGGAAACCAGCAGGAACGUGACUGAAAGGAAUUCUCUGUUUACUGGGAGAGACUACAAAGGAACAGACUCCCAGAGACCUGUGUGAGACCAAGUGCCCAGGAGGAGCAGGACUGAGCUGUUUCCUUCCCAAAGUCAUUCCACACACCUGCUCCCAAAGGCAGCUCUCUGACCAGCUUGGUGCAUCAGCCCUCAGCUACGGAAUCUAAGAUCAGUCACAGUCUUCUGUGGUGCUUUGGAUAAAAGAUUGCUUUCAGCUGCAUUUUACACUUUUCAUUUCCCUACUUUAUGCCUUCCUUUUGUAACAACCUUUUCAACUUUGCAGCCAGGAGCUUCUCUCUUGUUUUAAUUUUACCUGUUUGUUCCAGUAGACUGAUGUCAGUCUGACAGUCUCAAGACAAAAGGCUUUUAUGAAAAAGGCAAAAUCCUAGUAAACUGAUGGUGCUGACAAACCCUUUGGACAAUCUGCAGUGAAAGCUACAUUGGGCAAUUCCAGAAGCCAGGUUAGCCCUCCUGUUAGU